ensembl:snoRNA SNORA70 Small nucleolar RNA SNORA70
ACGUAACCAUCUGUUAAGCUAGCUGAGCCCCUCCUCCCUGGUGGGGGCUCAGUGUGCAGAGGCUGCAAUGAGCAGAUUCCCUGCGAGUGUAAGCAGUUCAUUCCUUUUAUGUGUUGCUCUCAGGCACCUUGGAGACAUUG